GGUGCCUUCAUCCAUCACCUUGGCCUGUCUUGCAGUCAGCUCCAUUGGGUAGGUGGUACCAUGGCCCCAUCCUACAGAUGAGAACACUGAGCACCAGAGAGGGCCCAAUCACCUCACUUGGAAUCCACCAUUGCUACCUGCUGCCGGCACCUCCAAAGGCUGCUUGGUUUCCACCUGCCCACCUCCUCCUCCUCUGCAGAGCCCCUGGCCUCCUUCAGCCAGACGACUCUGCAGCCACCUCCUGCCUCUGCUGCAUCCCCCUCCAGGGACCACCCCCACCAGCGGGGCACAGCCUGCAAGAAGUGCCUCUUAACCUUUGCGUGUGUGAAGGGGACGUGUCCACAAGACCCUGGGGCGGGUCCUGAGUCCAGGCGGGAUCUCUGCACGGAGCGGACGUCCCAGCCACGCUCUCCUCCCCACAAAGGGGGGACGGCCGUGGCUGUGAGGUGGACAUCUAUCACCCAGGCCAGACUUGAAGACGCACAAUCAGGGCCCCUGCUCCACGAGGAGGGCCCCUAAGACAGACACAGAUGUAUAUUGACUCGUGCGGGAGAGAGCUAAAGUCUCGAGACUCCCGUGUAAAUGUCAGGGACACUGCAGGGCAGAGAUGGGCGCCCUGCGGGGAGGUGGAGGGGUUGGUGGGCCGAGGAGGAUGGAGAAGAGUGAGUAGGAGAUAUGUGGAGAAGCGUGUUCCACUGGAUAGAAGUGGAGACCUGUCAGUCACCCAGUUGCCACCUCCCCUUCCAGAUUCCGGACCUCUGCACGGGGCCUUCUCCUGCGAGCCCAGGCCUCGCUCUGUUUGGACAGCUCUGCCAGCAUCAGUGGUUACCACUGCUCUCCUGGCCUCUGGUAUGAGUUUCCUGGGGCUGCUGUAACAAAUUAUGAUAAGCUGAGUGGCUUAAAACAACAGAAAUUCAUUUUCUCACAUUCUGGAGGCCAGAAGUCCAAAGUCAGUUUCAAUGGGCCAAAAUCAAGGCGUGGGCAGGACCACGGCCCCUUGUGGGCUCUGGGGAAGGACUCUUUUCCCUCACCUCCUGGUAGCUGCCCCUCCUUGCCCUGUGGCUGCACCAUUCCAGUCCCUGCCUCUGUGGUGGCAAUGCAUGAUCCUCUUCUGUCUGCAGUCAAAUCUCCCUCUUUCUCCCUUUAUGAGGAUUCUUGCGAUUGCACUUGGGGCUGCCCAGAUAAUCUGGAAUAAUCUCUUCAUCUCAGGAACCUUAAUUUAGUCACAUGUGCAAAGUCCCUUUUUUUGGCCAUGUAAGGUAACAUUCCUAGGUUCCAGGGACUAGGAUGUGGAUAUCUCUCGGGUGCUAUUACUCUGCCUACCAUAUCCCCUUGGCCCCCUGCAGAUUAUACGGGUGCUUCUCCAUCAGAGGUCUACGGAGGGAGGUGAUGUGUCUGGUACCCCCUCUUUCCUACACCCUCCGCUCAGUGACGAUGGCUGCUGGUCCGCUCCUCUCUCCCUCUUCCUUCCUCUUCGCUCUCACUUUGGAGUCCCCAGAGCCAUUUGGGUUUGGAACCAGUGCUCCACGUCCCUGGAGUAAGCAAGCAUGAAACCUCAGUCCCUCUGUCACUCCAUCAGAAGGAUCCACACUGGGGCAGCCGGUGUCCCUUCAAUGGAUAAGCUGCAGCCUCCUUGGGUGUUGAGUGUCUUGGUUGGAGAUGAUGAGGAUCAGGGGCUGAGGACCCAGUCCCAGCCCCUUUGUCUCCCUGAACAUUCACAAAGGAAGGAAGUGUGCUGGCCAGGGCUCCUGGACCCAUCAGAUCAAAGAGAGCAACUGGAUCACUGCCCCCUCCUCAUCUCUCCCUGCGUAGCUCCCGCCCAAUCACAUGAUGAAAAUCUCACAGAUGUACUCAAAGGAGGCGAGGGCAGAGUGGCUGGAGAUCAGUGCCCUAUACUGCUGAGAUGGCCAACCCCUCAAUGCACGCUUGGGGACUGGGUUUGGCAGGGCAGACAGCAACAGAGGGCAUGAGAAAGGGUUGGAGGGAGGAAGAGUCUGGGGAGGAAGAAUAAUUGCAACAUGAAGAGCAGAAAGAGUGCGUGAUCUGAAGCCAAAAGAACCGGGUUCAAGGCCCUCUGUGUGACCUUGGAGAAGUCACUUAACUUCUCUGAGUCUCACUCAGCUCAUCUGUCAACUGGUGAAUAACAAUGCCUCCCUAAUAGGGUGGCUGUAAAGAUCAUUGGGAUAAGGUAUAUGGAUCAAUUUUGUAAAUGCUCUCCACAUGCAAAGAAUUUCUAUGAUCCCAAUCUCUGUAUCCUAUUAGCUAAGUUAUAAACCCAUGGUGAUACGGAGAGGCUUCUGGAACCAGGUGAGGGUUGGUGACUCUUGCCACUCUAGGUUCUAAGGCCAUGGAGGGAGGCUGGUGGACAAUAUGGGGAAACUCUAAAUUCAUUCAUCUGUAAUGAAGGGACGGGGUGGGGAGCAGAGCCUUCCUCACCUGACUUUGCUGCUGUUUGUUAUUCUCGGGACAAAGUUCCCCGAGCUGAUGCUGCUUGAAGCAGGGCUGUCUGGAGUGAUGGCUUGACAGGAUGAUGGAUGGGGACCAGGCACGGCUUCUGACACCGCAGCACAUACUCUGCAUUCUUUAUCUGGGGCUGCUGCCGGCGGAAGGCUGCAAAUAAGCUCUCCAGCUACAGGGAUCGCUGAUAAAAGUCCACUGUGGGUGCGGAGACGAUCAUACUGGAUUCAACAGCGCGCAGGCCUGGGAGGCGAGGGGCAUGUUGGGAGCGGAGGGCUGCCGCUGAGGAAAUUUUCCCUGAGCCUGGAGGCUCUGGCACUGGAAUUCCAUAAAAGUCACUGGUCUGAGCGGAGACUCAAACCAUCUCUGACAUCCAAUUGUCUUUUCCAUUUGUGAGUCAAGGAAAAUUACAUGGGCCGUGCUGCAGC